UUUAUUGGAGAGUUUGAUCCUGGCUCAGGAUGAACGCUGGCGGCGUGCCUAAUACAUGCAAGUCGAGCGAAUGGAUUGAGAGCUUGCUCUCAAGAAGUUAGCGGCGGACGGGUGAGUAACACGUGGGUAACCUGUCCAUAAGACUGGGAUAACUCCGGGAAACCGGGGCUAAUACCGGAUAACAUUUUGAACUGCAUGGUUCGAAAUUGAAAGG
rnacentral:rRNA from 1 species